AUGGGCUCCGCCAUGGACCACGUUGGCGCGGCAGGCGGGAGGGCCAAGAAGGCAUCCGGCGGCUCGCAGCUGUGGAAGAAGGCGCUGCUGCAUUCCAGCCUCUGCUUCGUCAUGGGCUUCUUCACGGGCUUCGCGCCCUCCUCCGUCUCCGACUGGCGGUCCGUCGCGCCCGCCGGGGUGGGGAGCAGCCACAUGGCGAAGACGCCGCAAGUGAUCGCGUCGGGCGCAGCCAUGGACCGGAGCCUGUUGGCGCGGGACGCGGCCGCAAGAAUCGGGGGUGUCCCGCGGCCUCUCCUGGUGGUCGUGACGACCACCGAGUCGACGCCUACGGCGGCCGGCGAGCGGCCGGCGAUGCUGACCAGGAUGGCGCACACCCUGCGGCUCGUGCCGCCGCCGCUGCUGUGGCUGGUGGUGGAGGCCGCCCCCGACGUGCCGGCGACGGCGAAGCUGCUGCGCGACACGGGGAUCCUCUACCGCCACCUGACGUACAAGGAGAACUUCACGGCCGCCGAGGUCGCCGCGGGCAAGGAGCGCCACCACCAGCGCAACACCGCGCUGGAGCACAUCGAGCGGCACCGCCUCGCCGCCAUCGUUCACUUCGCCGGCCUCGGCGACGUGUACGAGCUGCGCUUUUUCGACCAGCUCCGGCAGAUCAGUACAUUCGGUGCGUGGCCGGUGGCGAGGAUGUCGCGGAACGAGCGGAAGGUGGUCAUCCAGGGCCCUGCGUGCAGCUCGUCCAAGGUCCUCGGUUGGUUCUCCAGGGACCUGAUGAGCAACGGCACCGCCGGCACGGGCGGCGGCACGGCUGCGACGUCGCCAGAGAUCGACGUCCACGGCUUCGCCUUCAACAGCUCCGUGCUCUGGGACCCCGAGCGCUGGGGCCGCUACCCGACCUCCGAGCCCGACAAGUCCCAGGACUCGAUGAGGUUUGUGCAGCAAGUGGUGUCGGAGGAUUAUAGCAAGGUGAAGGGCAUCCCUCAAGACUGCCUGGAGAUCAUGGUGUGGGGCGUCGACACGACGCCGACGCCGGCCCCGAUCUUCCUCGCAACAAACUCCGGGGAAUAA
rnacentral:rRNA from 1 species